rnacentral:snRNA from 1 species
GGAUGUGAGGACGAUCUGGCUGCAACAUCUGUCACCCCAUUGAUCGCCAGGGUUGAUUCGGCUGAUCUGGCUGACUAGGCGGGUGUCCCCUUCCUCCCUCACCGCUCCAUGUGCGUCCCUCCGGAAGCUGCGUCAAAGAGGUCGACCUUCCCCGAAUAGAGGAGGACCGGUCUUCGGUCAAGGGUAUACGAGUAUCUGCGCUCCCCUGCUAGAACCUCCAAACAAGCUCUCAAAGAGCUGUAAGGGGAAAGAGCCCUCUAGACAGGGGAACUGAUUCCUUUGGCC